UACAGAGGGGGCAAGCGUUGUUCGGAAUUACUGGGCGUAAAGGGCGCGUAGGCGGCCCGCUAAGUCGAACGUGAAAUCCCCAGGCUCAACCUGGGAACUGCGUCCGAUACUGGCAGGCUUGAAUCCGGGAGAGGGAUGUGGAAUUCCUGGUGUAGCGGUGGAAUGCGCAGAUAUCAGGAGGAACACCGGUGGCGAAGGCGGUUCUCUGGGCAUUACCUGACGCUGAGGAGCGAAAGCAUGGGGAGCGAACAGG
rnacentral:rRNA from 1 species